UACAACGGGUGGAGCCUGCGGUUUAAUUGGAUUCAACGCCGGAAAUCUUACCGGGACCGGCAGCAAUAUGAAGGGCCAGGCUGAAGACUUUGCCGGAUUAGCUGAGAGGUGGUGCAUUGGCCGUCGUCAGUUCGUACUGUGAAGCAUCCUGUUAAGUCAGGCAACGAGCGAGACCCACGCCCACAGUUGCCAGCGUACUCUCCGGAGUGACGGGUACACUGUGGGGACCGCCGCUGCUAAAGCGGAGGAAGGAAUGGGCAACGGUAGGUCAGUAUGCCCCGAAUAUCCCGGGCUACACGCGAGCUACAAUGGUUGGUACAAUGGGGUAUCUACCCCGAAAGGGGACGGAAAUCUCCUAAAACCAAUCUUAGUUCGGAUUGAGGGCUGCAACUCGCCUACAUGAAGUCGGAAUCGCUAGUAAUCGCGGAUCAGCACGCCGCGGUGAAUACGUUCCCGGGCCUU
rnacentral:rRNA from 1 species